AUCGCUUCUUGGCCUUUUGGCUAAGAUCAACUGUAGUAAAUGUUCUUAUCAGUUUAAUAUCUGAUAUGUCCUCUAUCCAAACAUAGACAACUGAAAUCAAUAGGUACUUCUU
rnacentral:snRNA from 1 species